rnacentral:rRNA from 1 species
AGCGAACGUUAGCGGCGCGCCUAACACAUGCAAGUCGCACGAGAAAGGGAGCAAUCCCCGGUACAGUGGCGCACGGGUGAGUAACACGUAGAUGACCUUCCCUGGAGCGGUGGAUAACCUGCCGAAAGGCGGGCUAAUACAGCAUGGGACCACAUGGUUUUGACCGAGUGGUGAAAGCGGGCCUCUGUUCACAAGCUCGCGCUCUGGGAUGGGUCUGCGUCCCAUCAGCUAGUUGGUGAGGUAAUGGCUCACCAAGGCAUCGACGGGUAGCUGGUCUGAGAGGAUGACCAGCCACACUGGAACUGAGACACGGUCCAGACUCCUACGGGAGGCAGCAGUGGGGAAUCUUGCGCAAUGGGCGAAAGCCUGACGCAGCGACGCCGCGUGGGUGAUGAAGGCC